GCCUUCGUGGUGUAGUGGUCAACAUGCUGGGUGCGUAUUCCAGAGGUCCGUGGUUCGAUUCUCUGUGAGGGCA
rnacentral:tRNA from 1 species